GAAUAGAUGUCCACUGACGUCUUUUACACGUCUAGACUAGACUAGUAGGAAAAAAACAGAAUUAUCUUUAUGAAAUACACGAUUUGUAUACAAAGUAAAUAUAUUAACUUUAUCUUGUUUAAAUAAAUUAUAAUCUUAAAGUGCCCAGUGUGAUUGCAAAGCCACAAUACAUUUUAGUCAUUAUUACAACCUGCUUUAUUAUUAAAUGUAUGCAUAUAAAUGUAAAGAAAGUAUAUAUCCGGUUACCAUUUAGGUCUGAGUUGGAUGUAAUUUCAUAAACUGCGCUGCCAAGAAUGUUUUAACAAAAUAUUUUACAAAAUCGCGCGAUAGGAUAGAUUUUCUCGCGAGAUAGUUGUCACGUGACGUGUUCUCCCGGAAGUACGUCGUGUGCAGCCAGCAAGCCACGAGGAGAGGGUGAAUUUACGAAGGAGUUGUGUCUAUAUAUUAUAUAAAAUCUACUAUUGGUUGAAGAUCAACACAAACCAAAUGAAGAUGUUGUAGAUUCUACAAAUAAAAAAGAAGGUGAUGGCACACAUCAUGACAGUAAACAUCGGUAUCAAGAUGGUGUGAUUGAUCUAUACCCUGGUCACAUAAUGAACAGCCAUCUUACAGACAACCGAAAGAGGCAUAGUAUUGUUUUCUUGUGUAUUGUCAUACACCUAAAGCGGAUUUUUUGUAAUUGUACAGUUAUGGUGUUAUUCAUUCAUUAAUGUGUCCUUUCUUACCUUAAAUAACUUAUCAUUUUUUACACCUUUUGUUUUUAUUGUCUAUAUAGUAUUGUCUACAAUCCCAAAUUCUGGAUUGACGAUCCAGUACCAGUGGGCACCCCAAUCCCAGAGAGCAUCCAUCUGAAACCAGGUGAGGUAACACAACGAAAAAAUUACCGGAUGGAGACUACCUGAUUCUUCACCUAUGGCCUCAGCUUCAAAUGCAAGAAGUCCAGCAACUGUCUGAGUUGGUGGAUAUUCUGUCAGAGACUCCGUGGACAACGUUAUGAAUAGAAUGAUGUGAAAUUGUCUUAUGGCAAAGUUCAAUAUGAAGGGUGGUGGACAUCAGGAAAAGAAGUCUUUUAAAGGCACACCUUUGUAUUAUGUUAUUUAAGAUGCUGUGAAGAGGUGGAGCCCAAAUGCCACCGAAUCGGAAAUAGAUGCAGCUAUGGCAGACCACCUCAAGCACGCUCCUGGAAGAGCUGGGGGUGGUGGAUACAAAAAAGCCUAACAGCUGUGAUGUGUUAAAGAGAGAGUUCACCAAAAAAGGAAAAUUGUUAUAAUUUUCUUAUCCACAUGUUUCAAACCUGUAUACCUUUCUAUUUUCUGCUGAACACAAAGAUUGAAGAAUGUUUGUAACUUCACAACCCAUUAACUGUCGAUAUUUUUUUUUUACAAUUGUAGUAAUGGGUUGUGAGAUCUGCUUUGUUAAAAACAUUCUUUUAAAUAUCUUUGUGUUCAGCAGAACAUAGAAAGGUAUACAGGUUUGAAACAUGAGAUGGAAUAAAUGACUAAAUAUUAAUUUUUGGGUGAACUAUCCCUUUAUAGAAAGUGUUUUGAAAUUGUUAUUAUAGUUAAAUGGUUAAAAAAUAAAAAGUGCUAAAUCAGAACAUGCUUCUUUUUUGGUUAUGGCGACAAAUAAUGUGUUCUUUAAUGUGUUUGUGAAGUACACGUGGUUAAAACGUUUUAUGGACGUUCAGGUCUGACUGGACCAAUUUUGAACCGAUUUUGAACCUUUGUGAAUAUGUGUUAAACCUCAAUACAAUUGAUUGCCUUUCACGAUGUUACACAGUGGGUGUAUAUUCAUUUUAUAUGCAUACAUUUAAACAAUGCAGCAACACAUUUAAACAUCCAGAAGACGGCACAUUUAGACGUCCAGGGACGGGCAGAAAAGACGUGUAAUUCACGGCCAAAUGACGUCAAAGACGUGCGCUCAACUUUAAUUUAGGGUAUUUUUCAACCGUGAUGGGACGUGACGAAGGGACGUCUUUUCAACGGUCAUAAAACGUCCAAAUGUUUGCUAUAUGGGGGCUUAAAACAUAUUUAAACUAUGCAGGAACACAUUUAAACAUCCAAAAGACGGCGCAUUUAGACGUCCAGGGACGUGCAGAAUAGACGUGUAAUUCACGGCCAGAUGACGUCAAAGACGUCGGCUCAACUUUCAUUUUGGAUAUAUUUUUCAACGCGGACGGGACGUGACGAACGGACGUCUUUUCAACGGUCAUCACACGUCCAAAUGUUUGUUGG